UGGGGAAUUUUGGACAAUGGGCGCAAGCCUGAUCCAGCAAUGCCGCGUGCAGGAUGAAGGCCUUCGGGUUGUAAACUGCUUUUGUACGGAACGAAAAAGCUCUCUCUAAUACAGGGGGUGAAUGACGGUACCGUAAGAAUAAGCACCGGCUAACUACGUGCC
rnacentral:rRNA from 1 species